rnacentral:rRNA from 1 species
AACGAACGCUGGCGGCAGGCCUAACACAUGCAAGUCGAGCGAGGACUUCGGUUCUAGCGGCGGACGGGUGAGUAACGCGUGGGAAUGUGCCCUUCUCUACGGAAUAGCCCUGGGAAACUGGGAGUAAUACCGUAUACGCCCUAUUGGGGAAAGAUUUAUCGGAGAAGGAUCAGCCCGCGUUGGAUUAGGUAGUUGGUGGGGUAAUGGCCUACCAAGCCGACGAUCCAUAGCUGGUUUGAGAGGAUGAUCAGCCACACUUGGACUGAGACACGGCCCAGACUCCUACGGGAGGCAGCAGUGGGGAAUCUUAGACAAUGGGGGCAACCCUGAUCUAGCCAUGCCGCGUGAGUGAUGAAGGCCUUAGGGUUGUAAAGCUCUUUCAGCUGGGAAGAUAAUGACGGUACCAGCAGAAGAAGCCCCGGCUAACUCCGUG